rnacentral:ncRNA from 2 species
UGUGCGGGGGACCGUGCUGGUGCCUGGCUUAUGUCAGGCCAAAAGGGAAUGCGAUAGGGGCCCCGCCCUGAAUCGCAGCCGCCCCCGCGACCGUGACCGGAGAGGUUGCCCAAUGCCACUGGCGAUAAGCCGGGAAGGCGGGCGCCGCAGGGCUUCAUCGCCCCUAUCCGCAAGCCGGGAGACCUGCCAGCGCAAAGGGUUUUGA